GGGGGGAGGCCGGAUCCUGGGCUGUGUCCCGGCGCCCUGUGCUCCGGAGCCAGCGCUGUUGGAUUCGCGCUCCCGCCCCGCAGCCCCCU
rnacentral:pre_miRNA from 1 species